rnacentral:ncRNA from 1 species
CGGUUGGCGGGAGGCUCUGACACGCGGUCCACAUCCCGGCCGCCGGGACCGCGCCGAGCCGCUGGCGAGACCGACCCGCGAGGGA